ACCCCAGACAUGAUUAACUUAUCGAAUUUUGAAAAUCAUUUUAAUGCCCAUUUCCUAGGCGUCCGAAAUUUUAAAUUUUUCUGUACAACCUUGUACCUUAGUUUCCAACCAACAUGAAAGUUCAACGUUGCAAUUGUCUGUAGGGUGGACUUUUCAAGCUGCCUUUUUUCACAUAGUAAAGUAAAUACUCAACAACGCUGCAAUGGCCAAUUUAAAAAAGAUUCCACUGCAAUAUCAAAACGGUAAUGAACGCACAAGACUAACAAAGUAAAGGUUAAUGUGCUGUUGACCUGCAUUUAAAUCACGAAAUUUACAACAGGAAAGAAAACGGAGUGAGCAUAAAAGGUAAGGAACAAAGGCAGACUGGUAGGCCAUACUAAAACACUCUCACCUACACACACGAAAAAUCAAAUAUACACACACAUACGCAUGGGGCCUGCGUUUGAGUCAUAUUUCCAUAUUAAUGAGGGAGUUAAGCCACAGCAAUAACAUACAGAAGCGUCGACUCCAAGAAAGAAGCUGAUGAAAUGCACAGAGGAGCAACAUCACCUCCAGCAGACGUUGAAUUUAUAAAGAAUUAUUGAAGAGCUCAACGAGGCGCAGAGAGAGAGAGAGCGACUAAACAACAUGGCGGCCAUCUGAGCUUUGCUUGUGAGAUUUAAAAAUCGCGCUCAAGAAUGCGACGCUCUUCCGGCUGCAAUUGGUGAAUGAGACCUCAAACGAAAUAUGAGGGGUCCCACUUUUGAAAACAAAAAUAAUCAAUCAUAAUGCUUGCCAUCUUAGUAUGAGUGGCAAUUUAAAUGGCUUGAAGGCAAUAAAAAUGAACGGAAAGUAGAGAGUCAUGAGAAAAGAGAAAAGUUACAACAAGCAUAUAAAAACGCGUAGUCGAAUAUGUAGACUCAAAAUCCCCUGUACCCCACCCCACCUAUCUUGGUGAUCUUCUAAUCUGAGGAUUAGAAUAUUUUGGUUUAUAGUACCACACUUGGAAUUCUUCAAAUCAUAAAUAUGAAUUUCAUUCUUGGCAAAAUAAAAUAAACAAAUACUUAAACAUA